UACGUAGGGUGCAAGCGUUAAUCGGAAUUACUGGGCGUAAAGCGUGCGCAGGCGGUGAUGUAAGACAGGUGUGAAAUCCCCGGGCUUAACCUGGGAACUGCAUUUGUGACUGCAUCGCUGGAGUGCGGCAGAGGGGGAUGGAAUUCCGCGUGUAGCAGUGAAAUGCGUAGAUAUGCGGAGGAACACCGAUGGCGAAGGCAAUCCCCUGGGCCUGCACUGACGCUCCAUGCACGAAAGCGUGGGGAGCAAACAGG
rnacentral:rRNA from 1 species